UUGGACCUGAUAUCAGGCAAGAUUACCCGCUGAACUUAAGCAUAUCAAUAAGCGGAGGAAAAGAAACUAACAAGGAUUCCCCUAGUAACGGCGAGUGAAGCGGGAAGAGCUCAAGCUUAAAAUCUCCGUGCAAGUUUUGCGCGGCGAAUUGUAGUCUAUAGAGGCGUGGUCAGCGUGGGCGCU
rnacentral:rRNA from 1 species